GGAGGAGUAGAGCAGCCAUUAAGGUGAGGAGAGCAGGAGGAGAAGAGCAGCCAUUAAGGUGAGGAGAGCAGGAGGAGUAGAGCAGCCAUUAAGGUGAGGAGAGCAGGAGGAGAAGAGCAGCCAUUAAGGUGAGGAGAGCAGGAGGAGCAGAGCAGCCAUUAAGGUGAGGGCAGGAGGAGCAGAGCAGCCAUUAAGGUGAGGAGAGCAGGAGGAGCAGAGCAGCCAUUAAGGUGAGGAGAGCAGGAGGAGUAGAGCAGCCAUUAAGGUGAGGAGAGCAGGAGGAGUAGAGCAGCCAUUAAGGUGAGGAGAGCAGGAGGAGAAGAGCAGCCAUUAAGGUGAGGAGAGCAGGAGGAGCAGAGCAGCCAUUAAGGUGAGGAGAGCAGGAGGAGUAGAGCAGCCAUUAAGGUGAGGAGAGCAGGAGGAGCAGAGCAGCCAUUAAGGUGAGGAGGGCAGGAGGAGUAGAGCAGCCAUUAAGGUGAGGGCAGGAGGAGUAGAGCAGCCAUUAAGGUGAGGGCAGGAGGAGUAGAGCAGCCAUUAAGGUGAGGGCAGGAGGAGCAGAGCAGCCAUUAAGGUGAGGGCAGGAGGAGCAGAGCAGCCAUUAAGGUGAGGGCAGGAGGAGCAGAGCAGCCAUUAAGGUGAGGGCAGGAGGAGUAGAGCAGCCAUUAAGGUGAGGGCAGGAGGAGUAGAGCAGC